rnacentral:rRNA from 1 species
UACGGAGGGAGCUAGCGUUGUUCGGAAUUACUGGGCGUAAAGCGCACGUAGGCGGCUUUGUAAGUUAGAGGUGAAAGCCUGGGGCUCAACCCCAGAAUUGCCUUUAAGACUGCAUCGCUUGAAUCCAGGAGAGGUGAGUGGAAUUCCGAGUGUAGAGGUGAAAUUCGUAGAUAUUCGGAAGAACACCAGUGGCGAAGGCGACUGACUGGACAUGUAUUGACGCUGAGGUGCGAAAGCGUGGGGAGCAAACAGG